rnacentral:rRNA from 1 species
AUUGAACGCUGGCGGCAGGCCUAACACAUGCAAGUCGAGCGAGCGGCGGACGGGUGAGUAAUGUAUGGGGACUGCCCGAUAGAGGGGGAUAACUACUGGAAACGGUGGCUAAUACCGCAUACUAUCGGAUAACCCAUAUGGGAUUGGCUAGUGGGUGGGGUAAAGGCUCACCUAGGCGACGAUCGCUAGCUGAUCUGAGAGGAUGAUCAGCCAGACUGGGACUGAGACACGGCCCAGAGUCCUACGGAGGCAGCAGUGGGGAAUAGUGCACAAUGGGCGCAAGCCUGAUACAGCCAUGCCGCGUGUAUGAAGAAGGCCUUAGGGGUGUAAAGUACUUUCAGCGGGGAGGCGUUACCCGCAGAAGAAGCACCGGCUAACUCCGUGCCAGCCGCCGCGGUAAUUC